rnacentral:rRNA from 1 species
AGAGUUUGAUCCUGGCUCAGGACGAACGCUGGCGGCGUGCUUAACACAUGCAAGUCGAACGGAAAGGCCCUUCGGGGUACUCGAGUGGCGAACGGGUGAGUAACACGUGGGUGAUCUGCCCUGCACUUUGGGAUAAGCCUGGGAAACUGGGUCUAAUACCGAAUAUGACCAUGCACUUCCUGGUGUGUGGUGGAAAGCUUUUGCGGUGUGGGAUGGGCCCGCGGCCUAUCAGCUUGUUGGGGGGGUAAUGGCCUACCAAGGCGACGACGGGUAGCCGGCCUGAGAGGGUGACCGGCCACACUGGGACUGAGAUACGGCCCAGACUCCUACGGGAGGCAGCAGUGGGGAAUAUUGCACAAUGGGCGCAAGCCUGAUGCAGCGACGCCGCGUGAGGGAUGACGGCCUUCGGGUUGUAAACCUCUUUCAGCACAGACGAAGCGCAAGUGACGGUAUGUGCAGAAGAAGGACCGGCCAACUACGUGCCAGCAGCCGCGGUAAUACGUAGGGUCCGAGCGUUGUCCGGAAUUACUGGGCGUAAAGAGCUCGUAGGUGGUUUGUCGCGUUGUUCGUGAAAACUCACAGCUUAACUGUGGGCGUGCGGGCGAUACGGGCAGACUUGAGUACUGCAGGGGAGACUGGAAUUCCUGGUGUAGCGGUGAAAUGCGUAGA